AUUGAACGCUGGCGGCAUGCCUUACACAUGCAAGUCGAACGGCAGCACGGGCUUCGGUCUGGUGGCGAGUGGCGAACGGGUGAGUAAAGUAUCGGAACGUACCUUUCAGUGGGGGAUAACGUAGCGAAAGUUACGCUAAUACCGCAUAUUCUGUGAGCAGGAAAGCAGGGGAUCGCAAGACCUUGCGCUGAUUGAGCGGCCGAUAUCAGAUUAGCUAGUUGGUGGGGUAAAGGCCUACCAAGGCGACGAUCUGUAGCGGGUCUGAGAGGAUGAUCCGCCAGACUGGAACUGAGACACGGUCCAGACUCCUACGGGAGGCAGCAGUGGGGAAUUUUGGACAAUGGGGGCAACCCUGAUCCAGCCAUGCCGCGUGAGUGAAGAAGGCCUUCGGGUUGUAAAGCUCUUUCGGCCGGGAAGAAAUCGCAUGGGCUAAUACCCUGUGUGGAUGACGGUACCGGAAUAAGAAGCACCGGCUAACUACGUGCCAGCCGCCGCGGUAAGAC
rnacentral:rRNA from 1 species